rnacentral:rRNA from 1 species
AUGCCGUCGUCGAGGCUCGUGCCCAAGGACGGCGAGUGGGACGGCGGCGUGGCGCUGGAGGUCACCGUGCUGUCGGCCGAGUCGCUGCGCCUGCCGCCCACCUACUCGCCUCUCCCGCGCCGGCUGCGGCCCUACGUCGCCGUCUCGUCCUCCUCCUCCUCCUCCUCCGCCGGCUGCAGCACGGGCGUGGCGCCCGCGUCGUCCGGCGCGGGGGAGCACUCUUGGGCCGACGUCGGCGAGGACGCGCGCCUCGUGGUGCCCGUGGGCGCGGGGUUCCUGGAGGGCCGCGACGACGUGCGCGUGGCGGUGCUCUCGGAGUCGGGCUGCGCGCGGCUCGUGGGCGACACGCCGCUGGGCUGGUGCCGCGUGCCCGCCGCCGACGUGCUGGAUGGCCUCCGCCCGCCCCGCGCGCUCCGCAGGCUCAGCUACUCGCUCCGCUGCCCGCGCCGCGGCGGGCCGGGACACGGCGUCGUCCACCUCGCCGUGCGCGUCCUCGGCGACGUCCACGUCCACGUCGCCCGCCCGGACCCCGCCCCGCCCGCGCAGCCCGGCUGGUGCCGCGUCGCCAUGGGCAUCCCGGUCUCCGGCGCCGCGGCCGUCGUCGGCACACCGUCUCCCUGGGCAUGGAGCCAGACGUCGCGGUGA